ensembl:lncRNA
GUACAGACAAAUGGGCCGAGUGUUUGGGGAAAAGCAGCAAGAGUGAUGGAGAAAGACAACUUGAUUUAUGGAGAGAGAUUAAAGGAGCUGAAUAGGUGGAGCUCAGCAAAAGAUGAUGGGGUGGAGCUAGGGGACCAUCUCCUUGUAUCUGAAGGCUGCAAACAGUCAGCAGACUAAGAGUUAUUUCGGUUAGAGCCGAGAAACAUAACAAAGAGUGAUGAAAAGAAAUUUAUGAUAAUAAUAGACUGUAAUUUUAUACCUAUUCCCAAACCAAGGAACCUCAAAACAUUUUAUGGCUAAGUAUAAUACACACACUACAACAGGGCGUGUUGAGGCUGUAAAGUGGCAGGUAAUUUAGCAAAAGCCUUUGAAAGAAAUAAUAUUUAGUGAGAAGGUAAUGGGUCCUCCUCGUGUAAAGAGCAGGGACCUGGCUUUUGUUUUGUCUGCUGCCCACUCCCAGGCGUGGUUCAGAUGGAGAAUGGCAUUGCUUUAUGUUUUCUGAAGCACGCAGGGUUCAACCUUCUUUAAAAAGAGGAGGAGGAGAUCCUUACAGAUCAGAGCAAAACUUGGAAGGCUGCUACAGCAAAGCUCUUAACCCAGCGCCAGGUUCCCCACUGGCUGACUUGGGCAGUUUGGGCUGCUAUGGAAAUGUGCUUUAGCCUCAACAGCUUAUGAACAACACAAAGACACCACUCUCCAUGCCAGAGGCUGGGACCCGAAGAGCUAAGCGCUGGUAGAAUAGGUAGGUGUCUUGUAGGAGGCAGCAUUCACAGGGAACAAGGGCAAGCUGCCCCCUCUAGCCUCUGCUGUUCUGAAAGGCUCACUUUAUUUUUAUUUGUUUAUGCUCGCAUGCCUGAGGAGGCCAGAAGACAGUCUCCUGAGACUGGAGUUACAUGUGGUUGUGAGAUACCCAGCAUGGGAACCAGAAACCACCUUUUAGUCUUCCGCAGCGGCAGUGUGCAGCUUCUGCUCGGGUUCCUGCCCUCACUUCCUCAGUGACGUACUGUGAUGUGGACAUGAGGAACUGUACCUGGUCACCCCGCCUGAAACAUCAUCCCACUGCUCUCCCACUACUGUGCUCCACACAGCUGGGGUGCUGGACCCUGAUAGAGACUCUGAGGGAGUGAAGAAAAGAGAGACACACAGGAAAGCUGGGAUCCAGUGAGGACUUGGCUACCUCCAGCAACCUGGAACUUCAGUGUUGUUUUUAUGUGGUUUUUGUUUUGCAAAGCACAGGGGCGGAGUUAGCUAGCCUCAGUAGGAGGUGUCUGUCUCUGAGCAUCUCAGGAUGUAAACAUCUGGAAGAAGAGGAAGCCACCAAUUUUCAUACAGACUGGUUACCCUCUCACUCUCAGACUCCCAAGGAAAGCUUUGCCAUCUCCUUGAGCCUGAUCCAAGUAAGGCUUUGCCACUCGGGUGGGGCUAAGGCAUUGGAACACUUGAUGUGGCAGUGCCCGUGUGAACAGUACACACUCACUCAGGACUUCUCAGGGCUCUCUCUGCUCCUGACACCCCAGCCCCUACUUUGUUUUUAAGCAUAUUUUUUUGUCGAUUCUUUAAGAAUUUUAUAUCAUGCACCCCAAUUCCACUCAUUUCCCAAUUCUUCCAUUUCUGCCUUCUACCCUUGUAACAUCCCCUCAAAGGAAAAAAAAAUCUCACUGAUCCCUCUAGGCAGGACCUGCUUCCCAAUCUAUCAAUCACAGCCUUCUCACGCCUGUCACAGCUGUUGUGUCUCCAGUUCCUCUGUGCAUGGACCAUUCUGCUCCUCCAUCUUUCCUGCCUCUCCAUCACAUAUUUGCCAUUGGGAUCUGUGGUGUGUAACACAGUAGACCCUUUUGCCCAAACAGCUUUACAUGCAAACACUCAUUGCAAUGAGUCAUUGGUCUGCUUCAAGGCCUCUGGCUGUUGCUACACCAUCAGUACCAGACCUUCAUCCAGACUCCUCUCAGAUAUCCUACUGUUGCCCCAAGUCAUAGAGAUCCUCAGCUAUGGUCACGAAGGACCAGCCCUUCACUUGAUCCAGCAAGCUCAUAAAUGGGGUGGAUAUUGGGGUGGACCAACUCAAAAUCCUGGGAUGUGGGCUUGGGUGGUAGAUGAGUUGGUCAGCCCACAAGUUCUUCCAUGAAGAAACCACUGGGGCCAGCUCUCCCAUCCUGCUCAGGUGAGGGGCAGAGCCAGCUCUCCUGCAUGUGAUGGCCAGAGAGGGGCAGGACCAACUCUGUAUAUCCCUAGGACACCAACAUGACUUCAAGUGUCAGCCCAGACCACGGACAUCUGCAUAGCCUUUGGUGGCAGCAUGGGCCAUGGACAUCAACAUAGACUCAUAGACAGCUGUGUGUGGCAAGGCCAUGGACCCAGACAUGGCCCUCGUCAGCAGCACAGGCCUGGGUAUCACCAUGACCUCAGGUGGCAGCACAGGCCAGCAUCAGGCUGUUCCUUACCACCCUUGUGUCUCCAGUUUGGCCUUUCUUCACAGUACACAAACCACUCUACUUGCUUUCUCUCCCCUCUCUCUACCACAUACUUGCUCAUUGUUGUGGCACUUGCCUGUUUUGUUAUUUUUUUUAAAGAGUUGUUUCCAGUAUCUAAAAUCAUUAUAUUAUUGAAUUAUUACGUUCCUUUCUGUCUGUUCUGGUUUGAAUGCAAACUCCUAAAGGAUAGAAAAUUUAUAUGUUCUGUUCAGUAUCCUCAUCACUUCCUGGAC